UGUUUCGGCUAGGGGGCCAUCCCGGCUUACCAACCCGAUGCAAACUGCGAAUACCGGAGAAUGUUAUCACGGGAGACACACGGCGGGUGCUAACGUCCGUCGUGAAGAGGGAAACAACCCAGACCGCCAGCUAAGGUCCCAAAGUCAUGGUUAAGUGGGAAACGAUGUGGGAAGGCCCAGACAGCCAGGAUGUUGGCUUAGAAGCAGCCAUCAUUUAAAGAAAGCGUAAUAGCUCACUGGUCGAGUCGGCCUGCGCGGAAGAUGUAACGGGGCUAAACCAUGCACCGAAGCUGCGGCAGCGAACGUAUCACCCAAGACAACUUUGCGGAGUUGACGAUUGACGGAGCGAAGCGACGUCAAAGCGUUCAUUAAAGUCGAGUUGGCUUAGGGAUACGUUCGUUGGGUAGGGGAGCGUUCUGUAAGCCAGUGAAGGUGUGUCGUGAGGCAUGCUGGAGGUAUCAGAAGUGCGAAUGCUGACAUAAGUAACGAUAAAGCGGGUGAAAAGCCCGCUCGCCGGAAGACCAAGGGUUCCUGUCCAACGUUAAUCGGGGCAGGGUGAGUCGACCCCUAAGGCGAGGCCGAAAGGCGUAGUCGAUGGGAAACGGGUUAAUAUUCCCGUACUUGGUGUUACUGCGAAGGGGGGACGGAGAAGGCUAUGUUGGCCGGGCGACGGUUGUCCCGGUUUAAGCGUGUAGGUGUGUGUUCCAGGUAAAUCCGGUUCACUUUAACACUGAGGCGUGACGACGAGGCACUACGGUGCUGAAGUAACAAAUGCCCUGCUUCCAGGAAAAGCCUCUAAGCAUCAGGUAACAUCAAAUCGUACCCCAAACCGACACAGGUGGU
rnacentral:rRNA from 1 species